UAGCGGGAGGNCUNACNNAUGCAAGCCGAGCGGUAUUGUUUCUUCGGAAAUGAGAGAGCGGCGUACGGGUGCGGAACACGUGUGCAACCUGCCUUUAUCUGGGGGAUAGCCUUUCGAAAGGAAGAUUAAUACUCCAUAACAUAUUGAUUGGCAUCAAUUAAUAUUGAAAGCUCCGGCGGAUAGAGAUGGGCACGCGCAAGAUUAGCUAGUUGGUGAGGUAACGGCUCACCAAGGCGAUGAUCUUUAGGGGGGCUGAGAGGGUGAUCCCCCACACUGGUACUGAGACACGGACCAGACUCCUACGGGAGGNAGCAGUGAGGAAUAUUGGUCAAUGGGUGCAAGCCUGAACCAGCCAUCCCGCGUGAAGGACGACUGCCCUAUGGGUUGUAAACUUC
rnacentral:rRNA from 1 species